AGCGAUGGGGUGACGCAGGAAGGUAGCUGGGCCAGUCAGUGGUUGUACUGGUGUAAGAGUGUAGGCCGUGACAUAGGCAAAUCCGUGUCACAUUAAGGCUGAGACUUGAUGCAUACCCGUUGUGGGGAAUUCAGUGAUCCUAUGCUGCCGAGAAAAGCCUCUAGUGAGUUCAUACACGGCCCGUACCCCAAACCGACACAGGUGAUCAGGUAGAGAAUACCAAGGCGAUCGAGAGAACUGUGGUUAAGGAACUCGGCAAAAUGCCCCCGUAACUUCGGGAGAAGGGGGACCAUGCCCGGUGAACAUCUUCACGGUGGGAGCUGGGUGUGGUCGCAGAGACCAGAGAGAAGCGACUGUUUACUAAAAACACAGGUCCGUGCGAAGACGUAAGUCGAUGUAUACGGACUGACGCCUGCCCGGUGCUGGAAGGUUAAGAGGACCGGUUAGCCGUAAGGCGAAGCUGAGAAUUUAAGCCCCAGUAAACGGCGGUGGUAACUAUAACCAUCCUAAGGUAGCGAAAUUCCUUGUCGGGUAAGUUCCGACCUGCACGAAUGGCGUAACGACUUCUCUGCUGUCUCGACCACAGACUCGGCGAAAUUGCACUACGAGUAAAGAUGCUCGUUACGCGCGGCAGGACGAAAAGACCCCGGGACCUUUACUAUAGCUUGGUAUUGGCGUUCGAUUCGGUUUGUGUAGGAUAGGUGGGAGACUGUGAAGCAUGCACGCCAGUGUGUGUGGAGUCGUUGUUGAAAUACCACUCUGAUCGUAUUGGACGUCUAACCUCGGCCCAUGAUCUGGGUUAGGGACAGUGCCUGGUGGGUAGUUUAACUGGGGCGGUUGCCUCCUAAAGAGUAACGGAGGCGCCCAAAGGUUCCCUCAGCCUGGAUGGCAAUCAGGUGUUGAGUGCAAGUGCACAAGGGAGCUUGACUGUGAGACUGACACGUCGAGCAGGGACGAAAGUCGGGACUAGUGAUCCGGCACCGGCAAGUGGAAGCGGUGUCGCUCAACGGAUAAAAGGUACCCCGGGGAUAACAGGCUGAUCUUCCCCAAGAGUCCAUAUCGACGGGAUGGUUUGGCACCUCGAUGUCGGCUCGUCGCAUCCUGGGGCUGGAGUAGGUCCCAAGGGUUGGGCUGUUCGCCCAUUAAAGCGGCACGCGAGCUGGGUUUAGAACGUCGUGAGACAGUUCGGUCUCUAUCCGCCGCGCGCGUAAGAAACUUGAGGAAGGCUGUCCCUAGUACGAGAGGACCGGGACGGACGAACCUCUGGUGUGCCAGUUGUUCCACCAGGAGCAUGGCUGGUUAGCUACGUUCGGAAGGGAUAACCGCUGAAAGCAUCUAAGCGGGAAGCCUGUUCCAAGAUGAGGUUUCUCACCACCUUGCGUGGUUAAGGCCCCCUACAGACCAUGGGGUUGAUAGGCCGGAACUGGAAGCGCAGCAAUGCGUGGAGGUGACCGGUACUAAUAGGCCGAGGGCUUACACC
rnacentral:rRNA from 1 species